rnacentral:tRNA from 1 species
CCCUUGCCACCGAUUCGUAAUACGUUCGUCGCGCCCGGGUUGCCGGAGCCGCUUUCUCGCGGAUCGGGCAGCCCGGCGAUGCGGCAA